rfam:Frangipani mosaic virus isolate FrMV-P, complete genome.
AGUGUUUUUCUGUCCACUUAAAUCGAACAGA